rnacentral:rRNA from 1 species
UACGUAGGGUGCAAGCGUUGUCCGGAAUUAUUGGGCGUAAAGAGCUCGUAGGCGGUUUGUUGCGUCGGCUGUGAAAUCCCGAGGCUCAACCUCGGGUCUGCAGUCGAUACGAGCAGACUAGAGUGUUGCAGGGGAGACUGGAAUCCUGGUGUAGCGGUGAAAUGCGCAGAUAUCAGGAGGAACACCGGUGGCGAAGGCGGGUCUCUGGGCCGAUACUGACGCUGAGGAGCGAAAGCGUGGGGAGCGAACAGG